UUUUCUUUCACUUGAAUUCUCUCCUCCUCUCUCAUUGUACCUUUCUAUUUUCAUGACUUACACAUACGUAUAUGUACACUUAGAAAUGUGGUUUUUGGCAUGCUUAAAAUAAUAAUUUCCUGUUGUAUCUGUAAAUAUAUUGAUUUUAUUUUCCUUUAUGCCUGGUCCAUUUUGCUGUCACCUUCUUUUCUUCCUUGUCUUCUUCUUCCUCCUCCUCCUCUUCCUUCCCCUCCUUCCCCUCUUCUUUUAUUCUUUUGGGUUUUCAAGUCAGGGUUGUCUCUGUGUAGCUCUAGCUGUCCUGGUCUGCCUCCCAAGUGCUGGGAUUAAAGGUAUGUCCCCACCACAGGCAGGCUUCCUUUUUUAAAGACGGUGUCUCUUGUAUCCUAAGCUGGCUUUGAACUGUUGUAUAACUGAGAAUGACCUUAAAUUUGUGAUCUUCCCUCUAUUUCCCAAGUGCUGGAAAGUUCUAGGAAGGCGAACCACACCCGGUUUAUUCACUCCCGGGGAUUGAACCCAGGGCAUAAGAUAUGCUAAGGCAAGCACUGUACCAACUUUUUAUUCAGUCCGGGGGAUUGAACCCAGGGCAUAAGAUAUGCUAAGGCAAGCACUGUUCCAACAGAAUUACAUCCUCAGACCUUUAAUUUUCUGUUUUGAGAUAGGGUCUUGUUCAGUUGUCUAGGCCAGCAUUGAACAUGAAACCAUCCCAUCCCCAUUCCAUUCUCUCAAGUUGCUGGGAUUGCAGGACUGCACUGUCAGGUCCUGUCAUAAUGAACUAUUUUAAACAAUCACUAUUUAGAUAUUGUAAACACAUCAUCAUCCUCUACUCUGUUUUUAUUCAUUUGUCUUCUUUUCCUUAUGUACAAACUUUGUUUAAUAGAGCUUAAUUUUAGAGGUUUUAAAAAUCAUGUUACAUACAUUAGCAUUUUCAUCUUGUUAAAACAAAUAAUAUUGUUAUUUGGAAAAAAUGUCUUGAAUAUGAACUAGCAACUGGAAAUGCUAAAAUGAGGGGUAGAGUGAAUACAUUUGGUUUUUCGAGUAUGCCAUAUGUAAAGUUAUUUCUUAGGAUUUUUUCCUUUUCAUUUAAUAAUUUUAAAUGUUUUUGGUUUUUAGAGAUAAGGUCUUAUGUAGCCCACCCAGGCUGAUCUGGAACUUGCUCUGUACUCCAGGGUGACCUUGAAUUCAUUAUCUUCCUGCUUUAGCCUCCUCACUAUUGGGAUCUCAGUGGCUAGCUGAUUAUUUCUUUAUAAAACAGCAACAAGUGCUUUCCAGCCCUGAAUUUUUUUAAGUAUGUGUUGUGUUCCAUGAGAUUCCCAAGUUUGUAUUGUUUGUAGCAUCGUAGCAGUAUAUAGCUAUUGUGAGAGUUACAGGGUCUGUAGUGAUAGAGAAGCAACAUGAUGGUGAGAAUAAGCUCAGUGAUAAAGCAGUUUGCAUAGUGUAGCUGGUCUUUGCUAUUUUCUGGCUUCUUCUUUUUCUUACCCUUUAACCCCAUGGUUUCACCCCCUAACACUAGUUAGUCGAGAAUCAAGGAGAGAUGGGAAGGGAAAGAGAAGGAGGAAGAGGAGGUGGAAGAGGAGAUGGAAGAGGAGGUGGAAGAGGAGGAGGAGGAGGAGAAAGAGAUCCCUGAAUCCAGUUUCUUUCCGUUGUUUCUUUGACCAAACCCCAUCGAACUUCUGGGUGGGGGUGUCCCUUGAAUUUAUGUACCCUUUGUAAAGUUCCCAGAAUUCCAAAUGUCACACAAUGGCAGAAAUUAUCUGCAGCUGCCAAAGCUGUGUUUCUUCUAGAGCACAAGGCAAAUAUUGGUCACCUGCUGCAGACAGUCUGAAGCAGCCCCACAUCCCUUCAUGUGGGGUUAAGCCAAAAGCACAUUCCUAUAAAAAGAAACCAAAAGUCCAGAAUUCUCAAAAAUGUCACUAUAGCAUGCUCUGAGUUCCCCGUCUUCAGCACUUAAAAAAAAGAAAGAAAAGACAAGAAACAGAAAAAGAAAAAAUGAAAGACAAAAACCACAAACUGUAUAGGGCAUUUUAUAAUUUUCAAGCAAGUAAUUUUUUUUUUAGUGAAAUAUUCCUUAAUUUUUUUAUUCCUGGUACUACUACCACAAUUUUCAGGGCAGUAUAUCUGAUGUAAUGAAAAGACAGUGCUAAGGCAGAGACAUUAGGAAUAAACAUCUAAUUAACAUUCUACUGCAUUAAUCAAUAUUAAUCAACAGUUUCUUUCCCCCCCUAAACUGUGCCUCUGGCAGUCUAAGCAAGAAAGGUUUCCUAUUUAAGCUGCUACUAGGAACUUUUGGCUAUAGAUUAUCAUUGCUUCUGUCUCAGACUUUUACUUCCUGUCUCAAAGUAACCUGCAGUUCCCCUGACAACUCCUCAUCAGUUAAUAAUUGUAGGCCUUUUCCUAGUGUCUUUAAAAAGAAC
rnacentral:lncRNA from 1 species